rnacentral:lncRNA from 1 species
AAGUCCAGCGUGGCUGCACCCAACACAUCCUAGAUAAAUAUGGCGAACCUACUUAAACCAAAUGUAACACCGGAUUUAAACAUUUAUAGGUAUUUUUUGUUUGUUUUAAUUGGCCAAAACAAAAGGCUUCUUCCUAAGGGGACACUUAAGAAGUCUGAAAAGGGAGGAAUUAUACAUUAAUAGUCUGAAUAAUUUUUCAAAAAAAAGCACUAUGUCUGGGAAAGUGGGCAUAGAGGGAGAUGGUGCAUUGCAGAACAAGGGAUACUCAUUGCCUCUGUGCCUAUGUGUAUUACUCUAGUUUAUCCUCAGAAUAUUUAAAGAGCCUCAAGUCAGUUUCCUAUAGCUAGACCACCUCCUAUACACCCAAAUCCACAAGGAUGAAUGCUUCAUGCAACGAGGCUGUCCGCAGAGGACCAGUAGUGAAGGUUUUAUCCUGCCUGGCUGUCUAUGACCUGCAGGUCAGUGACGGUUCCAACAGGUGUAUUCCACUCAUCAGAGAUUCAGGAUGUGAGUAACUGCGUACCAUCCUGCAUCAGUAUAAACUGGAUUUAUGUGUUACUCAGGUCUAUUUAAUCUUAGGAGCACAUUUUCCAUUGGCCUUGAAAGUGAGUAGCUGGAAUAUUGAUGUGUCUUAACCCUUAGAGGAAAAAAAAUAAGAAUUCUUCCACUGCACUAAAUCUAGAAAGAUAUGAGGGUUUGCAGUAUGGACACAUACAAAAUAUUUUUGAACAAAGUUGGUGGAGGAAAGCACAU